UACGUAGGGGGCUAGCGUUGUCCGGAAUCAUUGGGCGUAAAGCGCGCGUAGGCGGCCCGGUAAGUCCGCUGUAAAAGUCAAAGGCUCAACCUUUGAAUGUCAGUGGAUACUGCCGGGCUAGAGUCCGGAAGAGGAGAAUGGAAUUCCCGGUGUAGCGGUGAAAUGCGCAGAUAUCAGGAGGAACACCGGUGGCGAAGGCGGUUCUCUGGGCAUUACCUGACGCUGAGGAGCGAAAGUGUGGGGAGCGAACAGG
rnacentral:rRNA from 1 species